AUGAUGAUUGUCCUGACAUUCUCUGUUGGGAUCUCACACCUGAUGGCAAAUGCAAUUCAAAAGGUGCAUAUAAGCUUUGUUUGCAGGACAUACAAAAUCAGCCAAACAAUCGUCCCGCACAGGUUUGUUCUUUUGUUAAGGACAUGCAUAAGCAGGUGUGGAAGACAAAACAGCUGUCCCCCAAGGGUCCAAACCAUUGCAUGGAGGCUCCUUUGCAAAGCCCUUUCCACAGGUAUGCGAGCUGGUAGGUUCUCUCAGCACAUUGCCACUAAUUGCUGUUGGUGUGACCAACAGGAGGAUGAUAUGCAUAUAUUUGUUAGCUGCCCUUUUGCCAGGGCUGCUUGGUUUGGUCAUUCUUGGUAG
rnacentral:rRNA from 1 species